rnacentral:lncRNA from 1 species
UUACCCAUGCUCUUAAUCAUGAUUUGUGUUUCCUCUUGGCCAAAUCCUGUGUUGGCCUGUCUCACUUAUAAUAAGACGGGGACUGCUGUCCUCCAGAAAAUGUUAACUAAAAGUACUGAAUUCUUCAUGGCAUAUGCUGAAUACAUGGGCUGAUCAUAGAUACAAUUCACAUAAAGGAGUGAUACAGAGAUGUGACCCAACGGGUCUACCUACCAGGGAGGAGGUGUGGUUUUUACUGGAAUAUUAUCUCUCCUUUUGGCUUUCUCCCUGCUUCUGAAACACAUCCCUUUCCAGGCAUGCAUGCUUUCUGAGGCAGACAAAAGAAGAGUUGUUCAAGG